AGCGGCGGAUGGGUGAGUAACACGUGGGGAACCUGCCCCUAAGUCUGGGAUACCAUUUGGAAACAGGUGCUAAUACCGGAUGAUAAAGCAGAUCGCAUGAUCAGCUUUUGAAAGGCGGCGUAAGCUGUCGCUAAGGGAUGGCCCCGCGGUGCAUUAGCUAGUUGGUAAGGUAACGGCUUACCAAGGCGACGAUGCAUAGCCGAGUUGAGAGACUGAUCGGCCACAUUGGGACUGAGACACGGCCCAAACUCCUACGGGAGGCAGCAGUAGGGAAUCUUCCACAAUGGACGCAAGUCUGAUGGAGCAACGCCGCGUGAGUGAAGAAGGUUUUCGGAUCGUAAAGCUCUGUUGUUGGUGAAGAAGGAUAGAGGUAGUAACUGGCCUUUAUUUGACGGUAAUCAACCAGAAAGUCACGGCUAACUACGUGCCAGCAGCCGCGGUAAUACGUAGGUGGCAAGCGUUGUCCGGAUUUAUUGGGCGUAAAGCGAGCGCAGGCGGAAAAAUAAGUCUAAUGUGAAAGCCCUCGGCUUAACCGAGGAACUGCAUCGGAAACUGUUUUUCUUGAGUGCAGAAGAGGAGAGUGGGACUCCAUGUGUAGCGGUGGAAUGCGUAGAUAUAUGGAAGAACACCAGUGGCGAACGCCGCUCUCUGGUCUGCAACUGACGCUGAGGCUCGAAAGCAUGGGUAGCGAACAGGAUUAGAUACCCUAGUAGUCCAUGCCGUAAAACGAUGAUUGCUAAGUGU
rnacentral:rRNA from 1 species